rnacentral:rRNA from 1 species
CCAAUAGCGUAUAUUAAAGUUGCUGCAGUUAAAAAGCUCGUAGUUGAAUUUCGGGACUAAUAUGUCGGUCGUGCCUCGGUACGUACUGGCUUAUUGGUUUCUCCUUUCUGAAGAACCAUGAUGUCAUUUAUUUGGUGUCGUGGGGAAUCAGGACUGUUACUUUGAAAAAAUUAGAGUGUUUAAAGCAGGCUCACGCUUGAAUACAUUAGCAUGGAAUAAUGAAAUAGGACGUUUGAUUCUAUUUUGUUGGUUUCUAGGAUCGACGUAAUGAUUAAUAGGGAUAGUUGGGGGCAUUAGUAUUCAAUUGUCAGAGGUGAAAUUCUUGGAUUUAUUGAAGACUAACUACUGCGAAAGCAUUUGCCAAGGAUGUUUUCAUUAAUCAAGAACGAAAGUUAGGGGAUCGAAGACGAUCAGAUACCGUCGUAGUCUUAACCAUAAACUAUGCCGACUAGGGAUCGGAUGAUGUUAAUUUUUUAAUGACUCAUUCGGCGCCUUAAG